CUUUGCCUUGUUUCUUCUUUGGACGUUUUAGCCUUGCACUGGAUAAAAGAAAAAAGAUCACAUCUCAAGUAUUUUACUAUUUUACAACAAUCGACAGAAAUUUGAUUCCGGAGACAUAUUCCCAAAAAAUAAUCCAAGAAGUUCUUUUUAUUUCAUUUCAUUUCAAUAUAGAGAAAUAUCAUCCCCCCUCCAAAUUCUCUCUCCCUUUAAAAUUGUCUUUUCCAUGACUGCCACAGCUCGUCUGAGGCGAAUCGGCACCGCUGUCGUAGCAGCCGUCGCCACUGCAUAUGGCGGCACAAUCCUUCUCGUUCCUCCAGUCUCUGCCAAUGAUCAUGGUGGCGGUGGAUCCCACCUUGCCGCCAUCCGGCAGAAGAUCCACGACCCUAGCGCCACCGUUCCAUCAAGAGAAGUCCAGCGUUCGUCGCUUAUCGGGACCAGUCCAGCUAACCCCCUUGAUGUUCUCGUCAUUGGUGGGGGCGCCACGGGUUCGGGCGUGGCACUGGAUGCCGUGACACGUGGACUCCGCGUUGGUCUCGUUGAGAGAGAGGAUUUCUCUUCGGGAACUUCCUCCCGCUCCACUAAGCUCAUACAUGGAGGUGUUCGUUAUUUGGAGAAAGCCGUCUUUAAGUUUGAUUAUGGCCAACUAAAGUUAGUAUUCCAUGCACUCGAGGAGCGUAAACAAGUUAUUGACAAUGCACCCCACCUGUGCAAUGCUUUGCCUUGCAUGACUCCAUGUUUUGACUGGUUUGAAGUAGUGUACUACUGGAUUGGCUUGAAAAUGUAUGACUUGAUUGCUGGAGCACGAUUAUUGCACUUAUCAAGAUUUUACUCUACAGAGGAGUCUGUUGAGCUCUUUCCCACUUUGGCAAAGGAGGGAAAAGGUAGAAGACUGAGAGGCACUGUUGUGUAUUACGAUGGGCAAAUGAAUGAUGCUAGACUUAAUGUUGGAUUGGCUUGCACUGCUGCAUUAGCUGGUGCAACGGUGCUGAACCAUGCUGAAGUUGUAUCUUUACUGAAGGAUGAUAUUGGUGAACGGAUAAUUGGUGCACAAAUAAGGGACACUUUGACCGGCAAAGAAUUUGAUACAUAUGCAAAAGUAAUUGUGAAUGCGGCUGGCCCAUUUUGCGACUCCAUAAGGAAAAUGGCUGACAAAAAUGCAAGAGAUAUGAUUUGUCCAAGUAGCGGCGUACAUAUCAUACUCCCUGAUUAUUAUUCUCCCGAGGGAAUGGGCCUAAUUGUUCCUAAAACAAAGGAUGGCCGUGUUGUUUUCAUGCUACCAUGGCUAGGACGAACAGUAGCUGGGACUACAGAUUCUAACACCACCAUUACUUUUCUCCCUGAACCACAUGAAGAUGAAAUACAAUUCAUACUUGAUGCUAUAUCUGAUUACCUUAAUGUUAAAGUCCGGCGCACUGAUGUUCUCUCUGCUUGGAGUGGCAUUCGCCCAUUAGCAAUGAAUCCAUCAGCAAAAAAUACAGAGAGUAUCUCCAGGGAUCAUGUUGUCUGCGAGGAUCUCCCUGGUUUGAUCACUAUCACUGGUGGCAAGUGGACCACCUAUCGUAGCAUGGCAGAAGAUGCUGUCGAUGCAGCAAUAAAGUCUGGGAAGCUGACCCCCACCAGUGGAUGUGUGACUAACAAUCUCCAUAUUGUUGGUGGGGAAGGGUGGGAUCCUGCUUCUUUUACAGUUCUUACUCAACAAUAUAUGCGCAUGAAAAUAUCAUAUAAGGGUAAAGUUGUUCCUGGGGUAAUGGACACUGCGUCUGCAAAGCAUUUGUCUCAUGCAUAUGGAACAUUGGCUGAACGAGUGGCUGCCAUUGCUCAGUUGAUUUGGAAGAAGAGGUGAGAUGUCUCAUCAAGGCGACUGCUGAUGGUGGAAGUUGGGCCAGCCGUGAAGAGAGAGCAUAGAAUGAGGAGAAGAAGAAGAACGACAUCAAGAGUCAGAGGAAGGGAGGAAGGAGAGAAUGCUUUAGACAGAGAGAGGAAGGAGGGCAGCAUCAGCAAGAUGGUGAGAGAACAGCAAUAGCAAUAGUUCGAUGCCAAUGAUGGUGGCGUGACAAUAAUAUUCCAGUGUAGCUUUCGCUGGUUGUGUGUAUGCAGAUUUUUCCCCCAGGGUGGUGGUUUGCCCGCUGGCAUCUCUGUGGGGUUGCUGUUUGUUUCUAAUGGUGCUUAGCAAAGGGACUAAUGCUGGAAUGUUUAAAUAAGUCUUUCACUCUUUUGACGAAGAAUGUGCUUGAAGUGUGGCAAUGUGGUCCCAAAAACAGGUACUAAGAAAGGAUUAUAAGACAGAGGAGAUGGUGCUUUUGGAGAUGUGAUCAUAGAAAGGGAAAGGCAAGACAUGGAACACAAUGAAGACAUAGAAGACGACAUUCUAUAGUAUAAUUCACAUAUGAGGAAGGGGUGUAUCAUUGGCUUGUAUAUAUAAACUAUUUUGCGAUAUCACUGAUAUGUGCAGUUCUGCAAACAGGCUUUGAAGGUAUGAACUGAUCAAUGUAUUAGACAUAGUUGGAAUUCCUGUUGAUAGAGUGGCUUACUGAUAUGGCGCCAUUAAUGAUGUUGAUCUAUUAUAAUUUCACCAUCUACAGGACGGGUUUCCGGUUUAUGCCUUUUGUUACAGUACUUUCAGUGAUUCAGUCGAUUUGACUUUUUCCUUUUUUUAUUGUUUUUGUUCUAAGAGAUGGCAUUAAGGGUGUGCCUAAAUUAUAAAGUCCAAAUAUUCAAUAUGCUGUGAAGUUUAGUUGUCACAUUAUAUAAUCAUAGAUGGUAUUAAUUUCUGUCUUAACUCUUAACCAUUUGCUUUUGCAUUUGAUGCUAGUUUUUGUAAUUUUGGUUGUCUCAUC